CUUUCCCUUCCUGGGGGUGGAGCUUUCCAUCGUAAAGUUUUUUGUUUUUAAUAUUUGUGUAUUUGCCUGCUCUGGGUCUUGGCUGUGGCGUGAGGGAUCUUUAGUUGCAGCAUGUGGGGUCUACUUCCCUGACCAGGGAUGGAACCCAGGCCCCCUGCAGGGCAAGUGUGGAGUCUUGGUCACCAGGGAAGUCCCCAGUUGUAAACUAUGCUCUAAAAUCUGAUGGUGAUUCCAGAACUUUUCCAUGACCUUUAAUCUUUAUUUGUAAGCUGUCCUGUGGUUCUCAUUAAUCUUCCUAGAGUUGAUUAUAACACGCUUUGUUACGAAGAUGUAUUGUUUGAGAGUGAGGUGGUGAUAACCUAUGUUCAUAUUAAUAGUUUCUUGUUCAAAUUCUCCUGAACUCCAAGCCCACAGAGUUAGGUUCUCUGAGCUUCACAGUCAGCGGGUUUAGCCUAUCCUUCAACUUCAUCAUGCGUGUGCCCUCAGCAGAGGCAGGCUUUAAAGAAGAAAAGCAAUUGCAGAUGCAAGGCAGACCCUAGUGUACAUACAUCUUUAUUCUGUUUCUGUGAGAGUCCCUCAGCUCAUGUAGUCUUUCCUAAGAGUUAUCAUUCUUUACAUCUAAACCCCUGUAAUUAUUUUUUGUAUGAUUCUAUUUUUUUUUUCAAAUUUUUUGUUUUGCAUUGGGGUGUAGCUGAUAAACAAUGUUGUUAUAGUUUCAGGUGGACAGCAAAGGGACUCAGCCAUAGGUGUACAUGUUUCCAUUCUCCGGGUAUACAUGUUUCCAUUCUCCUAUACAUGUAUCCAUUCUCCAGGUAUACACGUUUCCAUUCUCCUAUACAUGUUUCCAUUCUCCAGGUAUACAUGUUUCCAUUCUCCUAUACAUGUAUCCAUUCUCCAGGUAUACAUGUUUCCAUUCUGGUAUACAUGUAUCCAUUCUCCAGGUAUACAUGUUUUCCAUUCUCCAGGUAUACAUGUUUUCCAUUCUCCAGAUAUACAUGUAUCCAUUCUCCCAGUAUACAUGUUUCCAUUCUCCAGGUAUACAUGUAUCCAUUCUCCAGGUAUACAUGUUUCCAUUCUCCAGGUAUACAUUUAUCCAUUCUCCAGGUAUACAUGUUUCCAUUCUCCUAUACAUGUAUCCAUUCUCCAGGUAUACAUGCUUCCAUUCUCCAGGUAUACAUGUUUCCGUUCUCCAGGUAUACAUGUAUCCAUUCUCCAGGUAUACAUGUAUCCAUUCUCCAGGUAUACAUGUUUCCAUUCUCCUAUACAUGUAUCCAUUCUCCAGGUAUACAUGUAUCCAUUCUCCAGGUAUACAUGUUUCCAUUCUCCUAUACAUGUAUCCAUUCUCCAGGUAUACAUGCUUCCAUUCUCCAGGUAUACAUGUAUCCAUUCUCCUAUACAUGUAUCCAUUCUCCAGGUAUAUAUGUUUCCAUUCUCCAGGUAUACAUGUUUCCAUUCUCCCCCAAACUCUCCUCCCAUCCAGCCUGCCGCAACACAUUGAGCAGAGUUCCCUGUGCAGGUCCUUGUUGGUUAUCCAUUUUAAAUACAGCCGUGUGUACACGUCCAUCCCAAACUCGCUCACCAUCCCUU